GUUUUAAUAGUUUAAACAAAACAUUGGUCUUGUAAACCGAAAAUAAGACACAAUCUUUUAAAACUU
rnacentral:tRNA from 1 species